AGCAGCCGCGGUAAUUCCAGCUCCAAUAGCGUAUAUUAAAGUUGUUGCAGUUAAAAAGCUCGUAGUUGAAUUUCGAGAUCAAAUUGUUGGUCGUGCCUUGGUACGCACUGGCAUUAUUGAUUUCUCCCUUCUGAAGAACCAUGAUGUCAUUAAUUUGGUGUCAUGGGGAAUCAGGACUGUUACUUUGAAAAAUUAGAGUGUUUAAAGCAGGCUCGCGCUUGAAUACAUUAGCAUGGAUAAUGAAAUAGGACGUUUGAUUCUAUUUUGUUGGUUUCUAGGAUCGACGUAAUGAUUAAUAGGGAUAGUUGGGGGCAUUUAGAAUUCAAUUGUCAGAGGUGAAAUUCUUGGA
rnacentral:rRNA from 1 species